UACGAAGGGGGCUAGCGUUGCUCGGAAUCACUGGGCGUAAAGCGCGCGUAGGCGGGUCUGUAUGUCGAUUGUGAAAGCCCUGGGCUUAACCUGGGAAUUGCAGUCGAAACUGCAGAUCUUGAAUGCUUGAGAGGAUGGCGGAAUUCCCGGUGUAGUAGUGAAAUACGUAGAUAUCGGGAAGAACACCUGAGGCGAAGGCGGCUUGCUGGGCUGACACUGACGCUGAGGCGCGAAAGCUAGGGUAGCAAACGGG
rnacentral:rRNA from 1 species